AGAGGUUUCGUAUCCUGGACGUCAGGAUGAACGCUGGCGGACGUGCUUAACACAUGCAAGUCGAACGGGUCUCAUAUUGAACCUAGUGAUUUAUGAGUUAGUGGCGGACGGGUGAGUAACGCGUGGAAACCUGCCGUAUACUGGGGGAUAACACUUAGAAAUAGGUGCUAAUACCGCAUAAGCGCACAGCUUCGCAUGAAGUGGUGUGAAAAACUCCGGUGGUAUACGAUGGUUCCGCGUCUGAUUAGCUUGUUGGUGGGGUAAUGGCUCACCAAGGCGACGAUCAGUAGCCGGCCUGAGAGGGUGAACGGCCACAUUGGGACUGAGACACGGCCCAAACUCCUACGGGAGGCAGCAGUGGGGAAUAUUGCACAAUGGGGGAAACCCUGAUGCAGCGACGCCGCGUGAGUGAAGAAGUAUUUCGGUAUGUAAAGCUCUAUCAGCAGGAACGAGACAAGACGGUACCUGACUAAGAAGCCCCGGCUAACUACGUG
rnacentral:rRNA from 1 species